rnacentral:tRNA from 2 species
GGAGAGAUGGCUGAGUGGUCGAAAGCGCUCCCCUGCUAAGGGAGUAUACGUUAAGAGCGUAUCCAGGGUUCGAAUCCCUGUCUCUCCGCCA